rnacentral:tRNA from 1 species
AAAUAAGAAGCAAAUUAUUGCAUUUAGUUUCGACCUAAAAAUUUGAUUUUUUUAAAAAAUCCUUAUUUU